CCUACGGUGGGCAGCAGUGAGGAAUAUUGGUCAAUGGACGAGAGUCUGAACCAGCCAAGUAGCGUGAAGGAUGAAGGUUCUAUGGAUCGUAAACCUCUUUUAUAAGGGAAUAAAGUGUGGGACGUGUCCUAUUUUGUAUGUACCUUAUGAAUAAGGAUCGGCUAACUCCGUGCCAGCAGCCGCGGUAAUACGGAGGAUCCGAGCGUUAUCCGGAUUUAUUGGGUUUAAAGGGUGCGUAGGCGGCCUUUUAAGUCAGCGGUGAAAGUCUGUGUAUCAACAAUAGAAUUGGCGUUGACACUGGGGGGCUUGAGUAUGUUUGAGGCAGGCGGAAUGCGUGGUGUAGCGGUGAAAUGCUUAGAUAUCACGCAGAACCCCGAUUGCGAAGGCAGCCUGCCAAGCCAUGACUGACGCUGAUGCACGAAAGCGUGGGGAUCAAACAGGAUUAGAUACCCCAGUAGUC
rnacentral:rRNA from 1 species